rnacentral:rRNA from 1 species
GCUGACGAGUGGCGAACGGGUGAGUAAUAUAUCGGAACGUACCAUUCAGUGGGGGAUAACGUAGCGAAAGUCACGCUAAUACCGCAUAUUCUGUGAGCAGGAAAGCAGGGGAUCGCAAGACCUUGCGCUGAUUGAGCGGCCGAUAUCAGAUUAGCUUGUUGGUGAGGUAAAAGCUCACCAAGGCGACGAUCUGUAGCGGGUCUGAGAGGAUGAUCCGCCACACUGGAACUGAGACACGGUCCAGACUCCUACGGGAGGCAGCAGUGGGGAAUUUUGGACAAUGGGGGCAACCCUGAUCCAGCCAUGCCGCGUGAGUGAAGAAGGCCUUCGGGUUGUAAACCUCUUUCAGCCGGGAAGAAAACGCAUGGGUUAAUACCCUGUGUGGAUGACGGUACCGGAAUAGAAGCACCGGCUAACUACGUGCCAGCAGCCGCGGUAAUACGUAGGGUGCGAGCGUUAAUCGGAAUUACUGGGCGUAAAGCGUGCGCAGGCGGUUUUGUAAGACAGGCGUGAAAUCCCCGGGCUUAACCUGGGAACUGCGUUUGUGACUGCAAGGCUAGAGUACGGCAGAGGGGGGUGGAAUUCCACGUGUAGCAGUGAAAUGCGUAGAGAUGUGGAGGAACACCAAUGGCGAAGGCAGCCCCCUGGGUCGAUACUGACGCUCAUGCACGAAAGCGUGGGUAGCAAACAGGAUUAGAUACCCUGGUAGUCCACGCCCUAAACGAUGUCAACUAGGUGUUGGGAGGGUAAAACCUUUUAGUACCGGAGCUAACGCGUGAAGUUGACCGCCUGGGGAGUACGGCCGCAAGGUUAAAACUCAAAGGAAUUGACGGGGACCCGCACAAGCGGUGGAUGAUGUGGAUUAAUUCGAUGCAACGCGAAAAACCUUACCUACCCUUGACAUGCCAAGAACUUUCCAGAGAUGGAUUGGUGCCCGAAAGGGAACUUGGACACAGGUGCUGCAUGGCUGUCGUCAGCUCGUGUCGUGAGAUGUUGGGUUAAGUCCCGCAACGAGCGCAACCCUUGUCGUUAAUUGCCAUCAUUUAGUUGGGCACUUUAACGAGACUGCCGGUGACAAACCGGAGGAAGGUGGGGAUGACGUCAAGUCCUCAUGGCCCUUAUGGGUAGGGCUUCACACGUCAUACAAUGGUCGGUACAAAGGGUCGCCAAGCCGCGAGGUGGAGCCAAUCCCAGAAAGCCGAUCGUAGUCCGGAUCGCAGUCUGCAACUCGACUGCGUGAAGUCGGAAUCGCUAGUAAUCGUGGAUCAGAAUGUCACGGUGAAUACGUUCCCGGGUCUUGUACACACCGCCCGUCACACCAUGGGAGCGGGUUCCGCCAAAAGUAGGUAGCCUAACCGCAAGGAGGGCGCUUACCACGGCGGGGUUCGUGACUGGGGUGAAGUCGGAA